AGUGAACGCUGGCGGUAGGCCUAACACAUGCAAGUCGAACGGCAGCACAGUAAGAGCUUGCUCUUACGGGUGGCGAGUGGCGGACGGGUGAGGAAUACAUCGGAAUCUACUUUUUCGUGGGGGAUAACGUGGGGAAACUUACGCUAAUACCGCAUACGACUUACGGGUGAAAGCAGGGGAUCUUCGGACCUUGCGCGAUUGAAUGAGCCGAUGUCGGAUUAGCUAGUUGGCGGGGUAAAGGCCCACCAAGGCGACGAUCCGUAGCUGGUCUGAGAGGAUGAUCAGCCACACUGGAACUGAGACACGGUCCAGACUCCUACGGGAGGCAGCAGUGGGGAAUAUUGGACAAUGGGCGCAAGCCUGAUCCAGCCAUACCGCGUGGGUGAAGAAGGCCUUCGGGUUGUAAAGCCCUUUUGUUGGGAAAGAAAAGCAGCAGGUUAAUACCCCGCUGUUCUGACGGUACCCAAAGAAUAAGCACCGGCUAACUUCGUG
rnacentral:rRNA from 1 species